UACGAACCGUGCGAGCGUUGUUCGGAAUCACUGGGCGUAAAGCGCACGUAGGCGGCUGUGUCAGUCAGGGGUGAAAUCCCGGAGCUCAACUUCGGAACUGCCUUUGAUACAGCACGUCUUGAGUCCGAUAGAGGUGGGUGGAAUUCCUAGUGUAGAGGUGAAAUUCGUAGAUAUUAGGAAGAACACCGGUGGCGAAGGCGGCCCACUGGAUCGGUACUGACGCUGAGGUGCGAAAGCGUGGGGAGCAAACAGG
rnacentral:rRNA from 1 species